AUUGAACGCUGGCGGCAGGCCUAACACAUGCAAGUCGAGCGAGCGGCGGACGGGUGAGUAAUGUCUGGGGACUGCCCGCUGGAGGGGGAUACUACUGGAAAAGGUAGCUAAAACCCCCAUCUAUCGGAAAACCCAAAUGGGAUUAGCUAGUAGGUGGGGUAAUGGCUCACCUUGGCGACGAACCCUAGCUGGUCUGAGAGGAUGAUCAGCCACACUGGAACUGAGACACGGUCCAGACUCCUACGGAGGCAGCAGUGGGGAAUAUUGCACAAUGGGCGCAAGCCUGAUACAGCCAUGCCGCGUGUAUGAAGAAGGCCUUAGGGUUGUAAAGUACUUUCAGCGGGGAGGCGUUACCGACAGAAGAAGCACCGGCUAACUCCGUGCCAGCCGCCGCGGUAAUUC
rnacentral:rRNA from 1 species